UCAAAAGCAUCAAGCUUGGCUUGUCGUUGGGCCCUUUAUCACCUGGUGAUAGGUCCAAAAGAUAAUGAGCGGUGUCGUAAGGACUCUAUAUGCAACGAGCUUAUAACAGCAUGCAUUUAGUGGUCGUAUGGCCCGUUCCACCCUUCUAUUUCUCAA
rnacentral:misc_RNA from 1 species